AAUAAAAUAAGAAAAUAAAUUAAUAUAAUAUGAAAAAUGUAAUUAAAAAAUAAAAUAAAAUAAAAAGUAAAAUUAAUAAAUUAAUGAAAAAAGUAAAAAAAUAGUGAAAAGUGAAAAAAAAAAUAAAAAAAGUGCAAAUUAAUAAAGUAAAAAAUAAAAGUCGUUCAAUCCCAUUCAUAUAAAAUAUCAAAAGAGAAACAAACAAGUUUCCACCAAAGAAUGCCGCCCUUCACACACCUACAUCGCAGCUGGAAAUAUUCCUACAGACCGCAAAAGUACACGCCAUGUGAUGUCUCAACAGUUUUCGCCAUUUACCAUUUGCAUUGUGAUCCUGUGCUAACAAUAAUUUAUGGCAGAUUUCAAUGGAAUAAAAUAUCAACACACAUGUGAGCAGUGUAAACAUCGACGCUGUUAAUUAACGCACAAAAUUAUGCAAUGAUGGCAUGCCAGCGUGCACCCAACUGAACGCAAAACGAAAACACAGAAAAUAAAAAAAAAAACGGGAAAAUAACAAAAUACACACAAUUGGCCAGCGGUUUUACCCAACAAAAACACGACACACAACAGUUUCAUUCAGCUCUCCUGCAGCAAUCUGCUCUCAUUAAUUACUCUUUAUCUCACUGACAGCCUUACCGCUUUGGCCUAGUACCAAUAAACUAGGUGCUUUAACGGUAACGUGAAAAAGUUAUUAUAUCGAUUAAUUAAUAGCGGCCGUUGUUUCGAAAGUGUCAAAAGCGGGAAUCGUUUGGAAAGGAGUAUAUGUUUGUGAAAGAGAAAAUCCAGUGUCAUAGUAAUGAGAAAAAUAAGUGCAUUAGUGAAAAAGUGAAUGUGUUAAGUGAAAAAAAUAAUUCGCAUACAAAUUUGAAAAGUGUAUAGUGUAAGAAUAUCUCGAGUUCCUGGGAAGACGCUGCAGAAUAUUUAAAUUGGUGAGUGCUGCAUUCUACUAUAUAUUUACUAUUUCAACAUAUGAUAGCAGUAUGUAUUUUUUUAACAUAAAAAAUUUAAUAAUCUUCAAAUAUCACUUCUAUUAUGAUAAGAUAUAAUACCACAAGCAUAGUCGAUCAGACCAUCCCACAACAUUGAAGCUUGGUUAUUAGAGUUAUUAAGUAACUGAAGGUUUCCAUUUGUUAUCCACAUUUUUAGGGUGUUAAUAGGGACUUGAAUUUUCUAAAAUGCAUUCUAUAAGAAUUCAAAGAUUAUUUCGAUGGUUAAGGCGAUUAGUUUUAGAACUCGUUCUUAAUGGCCUUUUCGCACAGCUAAAUUAAUUGAUCAAUUAAAAUUUUAAUUGAGAAGUCAGUUUUUGUUCUUCGCACUGCCGGAUACUCGAUAUUCGAUCAGCUGUAUGUAUUAUUGUUUGAGCUUUUCAUAAGAAUUUGGUAAGUUUCAACAGCUGAUUGCCAUUUUCUCAAUAAUCACAGCGACAACUACCGUCGAGUAGCAUUACUGAUUUUUUUAAAUACAGAUAAAGAUAUAUAAUUACAAAGAAGACCUUCUAUUUAUUAGACAUCAAAUUUGAUAUUGAAGUAAACAAUGUAUUGAAGUAAACAAUUGUGGUUAGUGGCACAUCAAAAGUUACUCUUAGCAACCAGACAGGGUCUCAAUUAUGUAACGUCUUCAUAAUUUUUUUUAUUGUUUUUUAAACUUCGUAUACUAUCAAUAUUAUAAAUCUCUUCUUCGUUAAACUGCAGUA